rnacentral:rRNA from 1 species
GACGAACGCUGGCGGCGUGCUUAACACAUGCCAGUCGAACGGAAAGGCCCUGCUUUUGUGGGGUGCUCGAGUGGCGAACGGGUGAGUAACAUGGGAGUAACCUGCCCUGGACUGUGGGAUAACUUCAGGAAACUGGGGCUAAUACCGGAUAGGAGCUCCUGCUGCAUGGUGGGGGUUGGACAGUUUCGGCGGUGGGGGAUGGACUCGCGGCUUAUCAGCUUGUUGGUGGGGUAGUGGCUUACCAAUGCUUUGACGGGUAGCCGGCCUGAGAGGGUGACCGGCCACAUUGGGACUGAGGGACGGCCGAGACUGCUACGGGAGGCAGCAGUGGGGAAUAUUGCACAAUGGGCGGAAGCCGGAUGCAGAAACGCCGCGUGCGGGAUGACGGCCUUCGGGGGGUAAACCGCUUUCGCCUGUGACGAAGCGUGAGUGACGGUAAUGGGUAAAGAAGCACCGGCUAACUACGUG